rnacentral:rRNA from 1 species
UACGGGGGGAGCAAGCGUUGUUCGGAUUUACUGGGCGUAAAGGGCGCGUAGGCGGUCAGCACAAGUCAGUUGUGAAAUCUCCGGGCUUAACUCGGAAAGGUCAACUGAUACUGUGCGACUAGAGUGCAGAAGGGGCAACUGGAACUCUCGGUGUAGCGGUGAAAUGCGUAGAUAUCGAGAAGAACACCUGCGGCGAAGGCGGGUUGCUGGGCUGACACUGACGCUGAUGCGCGAAAGCCAGGGGAGCGAACGGG